rnacentral:ncRNA from 1 species
AUUAGGUGCUCAAAUAGUUGAGUGAAACGGGAAGCAAAUGAGAAUUUUGCACUGCCCCCGCAACGGUGAUUAAGCGUAAAGCGCCAUAGCCAUUGUUUAUACCGGUUCAUACCCGAGUAUAAAUGAGAAGGCGGUAGCUCGUUGUACUCGCGUACAACCGCUUAUCAGUCCGGAGACCGGCCUAAUAUUAAA